UGAGGAAUAUUGGUCAAUGGGCGAGAGCCUGAACCAGCCAAGUAGCGUGCAGGAAGACGGCCCUAUGGGUUGUAAACUGCUUUUAUGUGGGGAUAAAGUGCGUGACGUGUCAUGCAUUGCAGGUACCACAUGAAUAAGGACCGGCUAAUUCCGUGCCAGCAGCCGCGGUAAUACGGAAGGUCCGGGCGUUAUCCGGAAUUAUUGGGUUUAAAGGGAGCGUAGGCUGUCUAUUAAGCGUGUUGUGAAAUAUACCGGCUCAACCGGUGGCUUGCAGCGCGAACUGGUCGACUUGAGUAUGCAGGAAGUAGGCGGAAUUCAUGGUGUAGCGGUGAAAUGCUUAGAUAUCAUGACGAACUCCGAUUGCGCAGGCAGCUUACUGUAGCAUAACUGACGCUGAUGCUCGAAAGUGCGGGUAUCAAACAGG
rnacentral:rRNA from 1 species